AUUUUGUUAUUUGGAUUACGAAUGUGUCACAUUUUCGCCAUUGCCGUCUUCGUUGUCAGUUUUUGUGUGUGGUUGCUUUUACGAGGACAUCAGCACCAAACAGAAUCGUGCAGCUAUAUGACGCUUUAUUCACACAGACGUUAUAGCAAGAAGUAGAAUUCGCAUAAUUAUUUGAAGACGGGGGGCGGCGUGGCCGAGCCACUAUGUUUGGAUCGCAUUCGUGGAUACACUGAUGGAAGUAUCGGAAAGUAGAGGAAGUAUCGAAAAGUAGAGAGCUGGAAAAACCGACGGAGGCGGGCGACCGGGGCGGACGGACCCGAAGAUGCUAGGCUGGAUGCGCAGCGCACCCUUGCGGCC